rnacentral:rRNA from 1 species
AGGGUUUGAUUCUGGCUCAGAACGAACGCUGGCGGCAGGCCUCAUACAUGCAAGUCGAGCGGUCCUUCGGGACAGCGGCGAACGGGUUAGUAACGCGUGGGAACGUGCCCUUUAGUACGGAAUAGCCAUUGGAAACGAUGAUUAAUACCGUAUACGCCCCAAGGGGGAAAGAUUUAUCGCUAAAGGAUCGGCCCGCGUUAGAUUAGGUAGUUGGUAGGGUAACGGCCUACCAAGCCGACGAUCUAUAGCUGGUUUGAGAGGAUGAUCAGCAACACUGGGACUGAGACACGGCCCAGACUUCUACGGAAGGCAGCAGUAGGGAAUCUUGGACAAUGGGCGAAAGCCUGAUCCAGCCAUGCCGCGUGAGUGAUGAAGGCCCUAGGGUUGUAAAGCUCUUUCGCCAGGGAAGAUAAUGACGGUACCUGGUAAAGAAACCCCGGCUAACUCCGU